AGUUUGAUCCUGGCUCAGAGUGAACGCUGGCGGUAGGCCUAACACAUGCAAGUCGAACGGCAGCACAGGAGAGCUUGCUCUCUGGGUGGCGAGUGGCGGACGGGUGAGGAAUACAUCGGAAUCUACUCUGUCGUGGGGGAUAACGUAGGGAAACUUACGCUAAUACCGCAUACGACCUACGGGUGAAAGCAGGGGACCUUCGGGCCUUGCGCGAUUGAAUGAGCCGAUGUCGGAUUAGCUAGUUGGCGGGGUAAAGGCCCACCAAGGCGACGAUCCGUAGCUGGUCUGAGAGGAUGAUCAGCCACACUGGAACUGAGACACGGUCCAGACUCCUACGGGAGGCAGCAGUGGGGAAUAUUGGACAAUGGGCGCAAGCCUGAUCCAGCCAUACCGCGUGGGUGAAGAAGGCCUUCGGGUUGUAAAGCCCUUUUGUUGGGAAAGAAAUCCAGCUGGCUAAUACCCGGUUGGGAUGACGGUACCCAAAGAAUAAGCACCGGCUAACUUCGUGCCAGCAGCCGCGGUAAUACGAAGGGUGCAAGCGUUACUCGGAAUUACUGGGCGUAAAGCGUGCGUAGGUGGUCGUUUAAGUCCGUUGUGAAAGCCCUGGGCUCAACCUGGGAACUGCAGUGGAUACUG
rnacentral:rRNA from 1 species